AAAAUACUCCCUCCGUCCGGAAAUACUUGUCAUCAAAAUGGAUAAAAGGAAAUGUAUCUAGACGUAUUUUAGUUUUAGAUACAUCUAUUUUUAUCCAUUUUGAUGACAAGUAUUUUCGGACGGAGGGAGUAGAAU
rnacentral:pre_miRNA from 1 species